CCUACGGGUGGCUGCAGUGGGGAAUAUUGGACAAUGGGCGAAAGCCUGAUCCAGCCAUGCCGCGUGUGUGAAGAAGGCCUUCGGGUUGUAAAGCACUUUCAGUGGGGAAGAAAGCCUUGGGGCUAAUACCCUCGAGGAAGGACAUCACCCACAGAAGAAGCACCGGCUAACUCCGUGCCAGCAGCCGCGGUAAUACGGAGGGUGCGAGCGUUAAUCGGAAUUACUGGGCGUAAAGCGCGCGUAGGCGGUCUGAUAAGCCGGUUGUGAAAGCCCCGGGCUCAACCCGGGAACGGCAUCCGGAACUGUCAGGCUAGAGUGCAGGAGAGGAAGGUAGAAUUCCCGGUGUAGCGGUGAAAUGCGUAGAGAUCGGGAGGAAUACCAGUGGCGAAGGCGGCCUUCUGGACUGACACUGACGCUGAGGUGCGAAAGCGUGGGUAGCAAACAGGAUUAGAUACCCUGGUAGUC
rnacentral:rRNA from 1 species